rnacentral:rRNA from 1 species
CCACAACUUUACGGUACGGUUUAACAAAAUGAAAGACUUUUUAGUACAAGAAGACCAUAUCCUGGAUGAAAGUCUUUUUAGACUCAGGUCAGUGGUGGAGUUGUCAAACCUACACCGGUAGGAUAGUCCCCUCCAAGGAAUAUGUUGAAGGGUUGGUGUAUCAGUUAGUACUUCAGACUUCCGACGCUGCGUGAGCGACGAGUCUCUUCAGGAUACCAUAUCCUCGACCGAUGACUCACGAACAAGAGUCGCGAGAGGUCAGAAGAAGUGGUCGUUUGACUCUCUUCUACUACGAGACGUUACCACAGUCAGUCCACCGGUCGUAUCGCGUCGAACGACCCCACCUGCGCAUACCUGAGUAGUGCUACUAGCAACUCCGACGUUCCUGUCAAUCUUCCUUGGUCCUUUGGACGGUCGACGACCGCGCCGCACACUUCUACUAACCUCUGGAAGAGGUCGUCGAGCUCUCGUGCGUCGACUACGUCGUAUGCCUCUGCUCCUUGGGGCAGCUCGUCGACCUCCUCUGCGAGGUUGCAUGCAUGCACCAGUAGUGUAGGACAGUUCCGUCGUCGAUGGAUGCGUCGACGAAAUAACCUCCCUUCGUUCGACUGGUCGAGGUAGUCCACGUCUUACUCUAGCGGAAGAUGGAGGUCGAGAAGGGAGAACAACCGAAGCAGCUAUGUUCAGCCUGGACCAGUGCCGAAGAUGUGUCUCGAGUAGGAGAACCAUGUCUCCCAUGAUACCUACUCAAUGUACGUCAGGUAGGAAGUCUUGUAGUAUUGUUAUCUUGUCUCCGGAAGUUCCGUUAAGUAAAUCUUCUAGGCCCUUGAGGAGGGACACGUUUUAGACUGCUUCUUGUUUUUUGUUCAUACACGUGAGUUUAUGAACUGCUGAAGAAGAUCAAAUAUUGAUCCACGAUGUUUAAAGUGUCAAAUUGAGGUGACGUAUACGUGUAUACGAAAACCUGCUCAGUCGAAAACAAAUAACAAGAUGAAUGAAAACAGCCACGAUCGAUAGGGUAUCUUCGUCAAACUUUUAACACAUAAAUGAGAAACUUUGUUCGUACGGGACGGAAUAUUAGUUACUGUUCCACGUAAAGAGAUACCUAGUCCGGUUCGGUACUUAUACCUCCUUUAUCAGUUAGAGUAUCCACAACGUUUUCCACGUCUCGAUGGGAUAAAAUCAAAGAGAGUCUAUAACCGACGAUGUCUGUUAAAUAGUAACGCCUUGAACGAACCUUUACCACAUAAGCCGACAUGGAUGUUCCCGUUUGAUGGACUACCAGAGCUAUAACGACAGUUUUCUGAGUCGUGUAGAAGUGUAGUUCCGGAUAGUCUCAAGGCUCGACUCUAACUUCAGUAAGGCUUAGAAGCUGUAUUUUUAUAUUAAAGCGAUGAACCCAAAACACAAGUUCCUUUUCUUUUCUAUGAACAGAUACUUAUAUACAGCUUGUUAUCGAACCGUCGGCAGUAAAGACUACUCAGUUUUUCCUUUAACGAAUUAACCAGUUUCGCAGAAGUUUAUUAGUUUCCCUAUCGUCUACCGGAACAAAUAGACGUAGACGUAAGAGUCUACCCGUAACAGGUGUCCCUAAACUUUGGUUCAUUACAGGACAACCUAUGACUUAACUUACAAUUUUAAAGACUAAAACCAGACCGAUUUUUCGAUCGAGGUCUACGUUAACGCCUUCUAUAACAUACGCCGUGUAUACCGAUACGUCUAGGACUUAUACGAUGAUGGCCUUACAAUAGCGUCUUCCGUCUACAUAUGUCGAAACCGUAGCAUCAAGAACUCUAUUAUACACCUUUGUUGGGAACCAAAAUAUACCACUUCCGCUUCUUCCCGAGUAGAGGUCCUAGUGAAGGACUAGUACGUGCGUUCAUAGCCUUCUCCGGGGCGUUCGAACAACUGGGUGACGAUUCGCGAUCGUUCUCGCUCUCUCGGGUCUAACGCCUUACGCAAUUCCACCGAGACGACACGCAGGUGACAGCAGGACUUACAUCCGGGCCGUACAGCCUUCAACACCACUACGAGACGUCGCAGCCCUCACCCUCUAGCAGUGGUCGAAUGACGACAGUGACUCAUUAGUAGUCCCCAACAUCAACUGGCUCCUGCCGGUUUCUAAUACUGGCAGUGUAAGUGUAUGUACAAAAUGUUACCCGUACCGUAACUGUUUUCUUCACCCUAAGACGUAAGACCAGACCGAGAACCAGCGGGUUCAAGUCAACUUCCACUUAUGUAUGGGACUUGGCCCGCGCACGAGGUCCGAACCCUCGGUUAAAUGCGCAAACCUUAUGAAUAGUCUUUUUUUACAGUACCACGAAGUACUAGUGUUUAUGAAUAAAUCAUUUUUUUUUACGUUCACGGUUUAUGAAAACUAAACAUUCGGAACACCAACAGAAAGAACUAAUAAAAGAUGAGGGAGGCCUGGUAUUAUAUUCUCGCAAAAACUGUGAUGUUAAUAUAAUACCCUGCUUCCCUCAUGAAAACUCCGUGAUUUUUUUAUCUUUC